CGAUUAGCUCAGCGGUAGAGCGCCUGCCUUACAAGCAAAAAA
rnacentral:tRNA from 11 species